rnacentral:sRNA from 1 species
UGAUAUCCAUGUGUUGAUUUCAUUGUCAUUAGGAUAUGAUUUGUUUUUGCUUCCUAGAUUUGGUUUUGAACUCUGUGUCCUAUCUCUAUUGCCUAUACAAUUGUCCUCACUGAUGUUUCUUUCAUAAUACUAAGCUUAGUCAGUUGAAAGCCUUUUAAUGAUGUGAAGUAUUUCAUGAUUGAACCAGUCUAUUUACAUGUAGUAUAUAGAUGUAGUAUAAAAUACUAAGAAAUUAGAGAUAUGCACAGAAGAUAAUGCAUGCCUGCUUAUCUUCCUCGUCAUUUUGUGUACAUACUCGUGGACGCCUUGAGAUCAUUUUAGUAUUUGAACACGUAACAUGUUGAACGGGAAUAACCUAAUUACCUAUGAUAACAUUUAGAAAGUGAAAAUGAAACUAAAAUCAUAGGACUAAACAAAUCUGGAGUACUACAGAUUGACUUGUACCAUUGCUUUUAGAGAGAAAGAGAGAGAGAGAGAGAGAGAGAGAGAGAGAGAGAGAGAGACCCUUGUAAUUGCCUUGAUUCUAUUGGUAUAAUGUAUUUCAGUUAGUAUUGAAGUUGAAAAUUAUUUGUAUGAAAUUUCAAAUGUAUCAAAAGAAUACCUACUAUUUUGUUUAAAUCCCACCCCCAUCCCCCGUCAAACCUACCAGUACACAUCUUUCUGUAUUAUCUUUAUCGGUAAUGAACCUUGUGCACCAUUUACAUAUUUCAAGGGUUUUUUGUGAGAAUUGAACUGUGAACUGAUAAUCAAGCAUUUAAUUUUGAUAAAAUACAAGAAACUAGAAGUAUGAUAAUGGUGACGACAAUAAAAUAUUUAUCUGAUUAAGUCGUGAUACAGUGACACUGUGUAAUGGAUUUCUACUUCUCAAUCUUCAUGCAUGGCUAUCAUCAAAGGUGUUCACAGUUAAUCAUAGAUCUGGUAUUUGAUAUUUUGAGAUUAUACCUAAAGAGAGCUGACAUUUAUAUUUUACAAAUUGAUAUCCCCCCCCCCCCCCC